UCUAUGGGGGAAGCAGUAUGUGAACGGCUGGACUAAACACUGAUCGGCAUGGGGAAAACAUGAAGUCCUACCUGGAGCACAAAGGUAGACUACCGGAAAGUAGGAUAAAGAAGACUAUAACCUGUCCCAUUGGAAUUUAGGAGACCCCACACAAUGGGAAGGAAGUGUUGGAGCCAGAGCAACACCUGCAAAAGAGAUAGACCACAGUUGUUUUGGUGAAAGGUGUCUAGGUCAUUGUGGCCUGUCUCCUCCCCAAGCUCCUAGGCUGCACCAGCCUGCCACCAGGCCACCACCAGGCUGCCACCAGGCUGCCACCAGGCCACCACCAGCCUGCCACCAGGCCG